CGGGCGGUGAUGUAAUGUCCAACAAUGUUGAAGGUGAAAAUAGCGAGACGAAGGCAGAGAAAGACAUCGACUGAAGGAUUUGUGAACAAAGCAGUACUGGAUUUCCGACUUUUUAACUCUAAAUAAGGAUUAAUUUAAACAAAUUAACGUUUUCAACGACGGUUUUUUUAAUCUUCGGAUAUUGCCGUUUGCUGGAUGAACGACAUAACACUGGAAACUAUUUUUCCCCAUUUCAACGUCGAUUAAGGUUCUUUAUACCUUAUUUUAAUAUGAUGAAAUUUGUCUUUUCAUUUAACCCCACCCGAUAAAGUUUGUACCUUUAAUUGAUUAAAAACGUUGCCCUUGAGCAGUAAUGGCCACUUUCUGUUUUUUUUUUCUUUUUUAUUGUUCUCCUUUCACGGACAACACGGUUGGCUUCGCAGUGACGUCACAAAUACCCGUAUGUGGGCAGGGUCGGAGCUACGAGGGGAGAGAGGCACGCCCGGAGCGUCGACGGGGAACUGCGCAUGCGCGAUGCAGAUAGCGAGGUUAUUUACAUUCCGAUAACUUUGACUUCGAAACGUGAACAUGAAAACUUACAUAUUACGUGAAAGUUAGGUUAAUAUUAAUACCCCCGCCCCACAAAAGGAUUUGUUUAAACGGGAUGUUUCAAAGUUAAAAUUACGCUAACCGCUACAAUGGCUUCACAAGCUCCACUACGGCUCUGUGGUUGCUAUGUGAACGACUUCUCAGCUGUCCAAUCAGCGAACGGCUUGCGAAGCUUUCCAGCCAAUCCGAGCGCGAGAGGAAUGUGGUUGGGGAAGGAGAACAGCGCAUAGACGGGACGCCAUUAAAAAUUCCGCCGUUUGCACUAUUAAAAACGUGUCACGUUUUAUUAAAGAUAUUAGAGGGCUUAAAUAAAGUAUUUAAGUGAACUUGAUAAAUGUAAGCUCACUUUUUUUGCACAUAAAGCGUUUAAAUAUCGGGGAUUUUUAAAUCUGUGCCAGUUCAGCUCUGUGGGUGUGGCCUGCUUUUUUUAUCCUAGAAAAUGGCCGCCGCUGAGUACGUUUCGGAGUGAUGAACUAUUCUAAUCUUAAAUCCUUCCUGUGUUUACUGUUUGUUUACAACUCGUUUAUUUUUGGCUUUAUUUAUGAUGAAGGCUAAAAAGGAAAUCCGUGUGCCGGAAGUAGUGUGACGUCGCAGUGUGUUUGCGCACGCCAACGAUUUUUAACCGUUGAGCGUGCGCGCGCUUAUCUGUUCUGUAUUCUAGAAAACACACCCGGAAGUACGACCAACCAAUCAGAAGACAGAACCGAAUUCUUUACCUUCCUGUGUGGAAAUGUAAAGCAAAAGAGCUCAGAAGUUUUCUUUUUGUUUCUUUCUUUCAUUUUCUUUCUUUCUUUUAUUUUUUAAUUUGUUGUAUAAACAGUAAAUUUACAUAUUAGGCUUGUAAAUGUGUACUAAAAUAAGAUUUUUUGUUUUAUAGUAUGUUAAACUGUAUUUUUGAAGCAUUGUGCAUAUUAAUGUUAUUUUAAAAUGAGUUUAGUUAAGAUUACAGUAGAUUCAUGUUGUUUAUUUACAUUCUGAACGUUAGAUUAGAAAUUUAACAACUUUGUGUUUUGAAAAAACAAACAAACAUUAAUGCAACAUUUUAAACCUGUUUAAUUCAAUUGACUGGUCUGAGGUCUUUAAUAAUAGAUAAUAAAGUCGCUUUUUUGUUGCCGAGUGAAAACGUGUUUAUUUCUGUACGUGUCAUUGAUGUAAAGCCUCUUCUUACAGUUUGUACUGAGUUCACAUUUCACGCCUGAUUUGGGUAAAAGUCAGAAGGAAACAUUUAGUAGGAGGGAAUUUCCUGUUUUGGUUUUAAAUCAGAGUUUUGAAACUUGCUGCUGUCGUUUCUCGCCCUCUUCUUACAUAAACACCUUUUCACUCAUUCAACCGCCAACAAAACAAUUAAAACACAAGCCAAUUCCAUUGUCUGCGUUUUAUUUAUUUUUUUAGAGUGAGGUGUAUUUAAUUUCUAUUCUGAAAUAUUCUUUUUUAUUUAUUUCCUGUGUUAAAUAUUGAAAAGUGUGUGUGGGGGUUGUUUUUAAAAUCUUAUGUUCUCUGAGAAAGGGACAAAACUGAGGUUUUAUAGUACAAACACUUGUCAAUUGAGAGAGUCAUGUCUUUUCUAUUUAAUUAAAUGCAACACAGCCAUCCAUAAUGAGCUACUCUUCUACCUUUGACUGUAUGUCUCGGAUUAAAACUAUACCCGUUUCUUUAUUUAAUUGUUUAGACAAACACAUUUCCCUGAUUGCCUUAAAUAGUUUGUAAUUAUGUUAUGUGAGGGAAAUUAUUCAUUUUUACUUUGUAAUAGUAUUGUUCUUGUUCUGUUUCAUUCUCAUCUGAGGAUAACGCCUAAGAAGGCCACGUCAUGUCACUGAGAUCAGUACAGAAUGUUUAUCUGCUUACAGAGACACAAACAUGUUCUUCUGUUCAAGAGGACGAGUCUGUGAGUGUUGUCUAAUUUUCCCAACAAUUUGGCGUCUCCUGGCUGGACUGCACGAGUCUUUCAGCUUUUCUGGACAACAAGCAAACCAGAGGACGCUCGCGGAAAAGUUUUCACCCUGAAGUCCGUGUUCGCACGCAGGCGGUUUGCCCUUUGUUGUGUAAAGUGAAAGACUGAUGCAGCCUUACCACUGACCGGUAGGAAUCAUCAAGAAUUUAGAAUGAGAAUUUUAUGAAGUCAAUGUGUAUUGCUGUCUCUAUGGAAGGGAACAUCCAGGAACUUCGCCUCUGCGACGGCAGAGAUAUUGGUGUUUCUUAGAUCACAGCUACAAAACUAAGAUCUAUACUGACGGGUGUGUAUGUGUGUGUAUAUAUGUAUAUUAAUAUUAGAGAGAUAAUAACGGUAAAAAUAUUUGCUAAUGGGAAGAGUCAGUUUCGAGCAAUAAAUAAACGGAGUACUUAUUAAGGAGCGCAGUAUUUUUGUGGUGGGUUAUUAUGAAGUGGGAUGCCUCAUUCCAUCAUAUCAGCGGUACAUGAUAUAUUUGGCAAAUUUAAUGCACAAGUAAAUUUUACUGAGAUAAAAAAUAAUAAUAAUAAUAAAAAAAUAAAUUAUUAAGAAAAAAGAAGGGAAGAGAAAACGGUAGGUCCUACCAAAUUGCUGUAUGUGGACUCUCCCUCACAGGUAAACUCUUUUACAUUCUUAAGGUUUGCUCUAUUGAACCUAUAAGUUAUAUGAUUAAUUUUUCUGUCUGUGCAUGAGAAUGCAUAUUCAUUUGAUUUUUAUAGCAUGUUAAAUUGAUUAAAACUUUAAAAUGAAAGUUAUAGAAGGUGUAAAAAAGAGAAAAAGCACAUAUGGGAAAAACAUGUAGCAAAGCACAUCCUGAGCCACAUGCUAUGGUAUGUACAGGGUACUCAUAUGUUGGUCCUAAUAUCACAUUUAUGCGUGUGAAUUAUGGGGAAGGAUGUUAGAACCAGUAUGAUGUAUGGGUUAAAGAAUGUGCUUUCCUGGAAAAAGGUAGUUUUAGUCUCAGACAGUUAGAACAGCAGAAACUUAAUUUGUAAGCAAAGAAGAGAGAUAUUUCUAAAAUAAUUUUUAAAAAACACAGUUUUUGGCAGACUGGAGGGCAUUUGCUGAAGGGCAGAGUGAGGCACAUAAAAGAGAGAAAAAAUGGCAGGCAGGGCCCUCAUCUGUUUCGCAGUGUGCUAAAUUGCAGAAAGCCGAUCCCGACCUGGACUCCGCCCCACCAUGACACCCACAGCCAGGAAGGAGGGAGGAACCUGCAGUUUGAGAGGCACCUCUUCACGAUGAAGCGGCCCAGCCUACACCACUCUAUCCGAACCUGUCAGAACUGAUCCACCAACCCCCACCGAACUAUGCUCCAGCCGUCCUAUCUUCACCGGUGGCGUUACACACGAGAUCCCAAGUGAAUGGACCAACAGCAUUGCUGCCUGAGGGCUUCAGACCAACAAAAUCAGACAGAGAAGGGACAGUGCACGCCGUGGUAAAUGCCCCAAUGCUGGAGGUGGCCAGAGGAGGAGGCCCUAUGCUAGUUGACAUACCCUGGAUAUUGGAAGACAUCAGGAGCAGCAUGAUGCAUUUGCCGGUGCUCCACGAAGUAGGACAACAAAAGUUUGGGGAUGAACUUCUGAGAAUUCAGACCCACCACUCAUGAACUACGACGACUGCUCAUGGCGAAACUUGGCCCGGACUGGGUCAAGGUUUCACCUGAAUUCCCAGAGAACGAUGUCCGCCUGAUCAACCCACAGUGGGCUGAUGGAGUCAACACAAGGUACAGAGCACAAAUCACGGCGUUCAAGCAGAGGCUGACAAACACCUUUCCUGUGCACCUGGACGUGACAAAAAUAGCAAAGUAUCUAUCUCGUCUCACUGAAGUCCAUGAUGCAAAUUAAGACCAGUAGCACUCGCAGAUGGACAAGCAGCCGAAGACACAGCAUGGGUAGCACAUCUCAGAAACAGCUUCAGGAAUGGUAUGAAACCAGAUAUCGUUGCUCUUGUAAAACAUCAACGCAUUACCUGGGAUACUGGAAAUAUGACUCAGGUAGAAUGAUAUGCAAUCCAUGGGGAGAAGCACCUACGAGAGGCAAAGGAAAGAAAGUUGGAGAGGAGAGAAAGACCAAAAGGACGCGGAUGAGGAAGGCCAGGUAGCAACCCCCAUAGAUACAUCUUUACAGCUUUUAUCUGUGGAAAAGUUGGACAUUUUGCAAGAGACUGUCCAGAGCAGAAGCCUGAUGGGCGGAGCUAAGGGAAGGGUGAGGCACCUGGGAACAGAGUUUGGGUGUCUGAUGUCACCUCUUAUCAGUUAGCUCACAAAGAACAGGAAUAUAUGCACACACCCACAUCCAACAUUAGUCAGACUGACAAUUCACAAACGUCUGACCCAGUCAUGACCCUUAACCUUUUUAAAGUAUCAUGCCUCUCCUUUUACACAGUUACUAUGUAUAUCUCUUGUAAUUAAUGGACAAAGUAUCACAUUUUUGGUAGAUUCAGGAGCAACGUAUUCAGUAAUAAAACACUGCGAAUUAAAAGAAUCCCCGAAAACGAGUUCACGGUCACUGCACUCCAUGGGUGUGACGGGACAUUCAGUAUUAGACCUAAUUUCGUCUUCAUGUCCAGUCAAUCUACUGGGCAGGGACUUAAUGUGUGUUUUACACUUAAAUUUGAUUUCCUCACCUCAGGGAGUAACAAUAACUGAUGACUCAUCUUUGGGAACUCCAUUUGUUAGAGAAACAGAGCUCUGUGUUUAUCAAUGGUCCAUGCAUAACGAGCCUAGAGCCUGUGCUCGUUUGUUGACACUGGCACAUGAUAAGAUGAAGGACAACUGUGUUGAUUUUAUGCUGUCCUCUGUCCUCCAUUGCACAGCGCAAGUGCAUGAAGGAAGAGACUUUAAUUUGAGAAAGAGUGGUUUAUGGAUAUCCCAGAAAGUGAAGAACUGUACCAAUAUUGGUGUGACAAAUUUUGUGCAUGUUCAGUCAAAUUGAGUGACACUCAGUUGCGUGCAUUUUUCGUCCCAGAAUCCGUGCCCCAUGUCUCAUUAGCCAAAAUAAAGAACAGACAGUACAAAGACGUGGGACUGUGGGUCAGAUUAUGUGAGAGUGGGAAAAUUACAGAUUGGGAACAUGAACCCACCUCCAACAUAUGGUACAGCCCGACGCUGGGAGUUUAUAAAAAAUUCUUUCAGGAAAUGUGCAAGGUUAACCGGGAUGUUAUUUGUCAUGACAAGGGAAUGUUUCUGAACCUUGGGACAAGCCCCACACCCCUAGAGACACACCCACAAUUGAAGAAGGUGCCUCUCAGGCUGUGGGCCCAAGGGAAACAUGACGUAGGCCUGAUUAGAAGUGCACCGCCAGUCGUGAUCACGCCCAAAUCUGACUUUAGGCCCAGACAAUCUCAAUACCCUCUUAAAUCAGAAGCUAUUGAGGGGAUUGGACCAGAUUUCAAUUCAUUAUUGAAGGUAGGCGUCAUUGUUACCUGUCCUGAUUCGUCAGUGCGCACCCCAAUAUUUCCAGUGAGAGAAGCAAAAAAAAAAAAAAACCCUACAACCUGACGAAUGGAGAUUUGUAGAAGAUUUGUAAGCGGUUAAUGCAGCAGUCAAACAGAGAGCUCUAGACGUGCCAAAUUCUUACACUGUAUUAAACCAGGGUCCAGCAAAUAGCGAAUGGUUUUCAGUCGUAGAUUUAGCUAAUGCGUUUUUUCAGUAUUUCUCUUGAUAAAGACAGACAGUUUCGGUUUGCAUUCAUAUUUGACGGACAUCCUUACACUUUCACUCACUUGUGUUAGGGAUGUUGAGAGUCACUAACGAUAUACAACCAAAUGCUAAAGGACAGCUUAGCACCUCUACCACUUUCUCCAGAGCACAGUGUGAAACUGACACCAUUAAAUUGUUGCAGCAUCUUGCCUAAGAAGGACACAAAGCCAGUCUCUCCAAAUUACAGUAUGUACAACAAGAAGUGAGAGUCUUGGGUCAUGACAUUUCUGCAAAGGGAAAGAAACUCUCCGCUGAAAGAGUAUCUGCAAUCCAGAAGAUUCCCAAGCCUCUGACGAAGAAACAAGUUCUCUCUAUCCUAUGUAUGUGUUCGUAUCGCAGAACUUUCAUUCUAAACUAUACCAUUCUAGAAGCACCGCUCAGAGAGAUGGCAUAUGCGACAGGUUGGACAGUUCGUUCUCAGGUAAGUUGGAUCCGAGUCACUGCAGAGUUUCCCCCGUGUGUACGUGCAGUAGCAGCAGCUGAGAAAGCUGUGGUGGCAUCCAGAGACGGUCGGUGGUAGGUUACUCAGAAUUGAUCCUCUUGGUUCCACAUGAGGUGUUGUUACUCCUACUUGAACAGAAAACCUCACACCUGUCCACCCAAUGAUGGCUGCACCAUAACACUGUACUAUUAGACAUGCCACAUGUCACUAUAAAACAACGUACUGUCCUUAACCCUGCUACUCUUCUUCCAACAGAGGGAGACAGGGAACCACAUGACUGUGUUGUACUGACUAAUGAACUCUGCUCCCCUAGAAUCGACCUGAAGGAUAUUCCAUUGGAAAACCCAGAUUUGAUCCUCUUUGUGGACGGGUCAGCGUCACGUGACCCAGAGACAGGUAAAAAUCGAGUGGGUUAUGAGUAGUGACCGCACACGAGACGGUCUGUCAGGAAGUCUCCCCUCAAAACUUUCAGCACAACCAGCUGAACUGUACGCCCUCAUAGAGGCAUGAAGACCUGCUGAGGGACAGUCAGUAAAUAUCUACACAGACAGUAGAUACGCCUUUGAGGUAGUACAUGAUUUGGGGACAGUUUGGAAACUCAGAGGACGAGUCCACGAGUGUUGUCUAAUUUCCACGACAAUUAACAGUCCUAAUGGUUUCCGUUAUUAAUUAUUAAUAUUUAUUCUGUUUAGGUGAUGCUUUGCUUUUUUAUAUAUUGAUUAUGAGAUGACCUUCAGUCAUUUCUCCUAACUCACUAAAACACUACACAGAUGUAAUAAAGACAAUUAAAACGAGACUAGAGAAUACAUCUUGUACAUUUAUUUAUUUAUUUAUUUGAUUGAUUGUUUGUUUAUUUAUGUAUGUAAAUUGUUCCUUCUCUAUCUGAUUUAAUAAAAUAUUAAAAGCGUCA